rnacentral:rRNA from 1 species
AAACUGGGAAACUUGAGUGCAGAAGAGGAGAGUGGAAUUCCACGUGUAGCGGUGAAAUGCGUAGAGAUGUGGAGGAACACCAGUGGCGAAGGCGACUCUCUGGUCUGUAACUGACGCUGAGGAGCGAAAGCGUGGGGAGCGAACAGGAUUAGAUACCCUGGUAGUCCACGCCGUAAACGAUGAGUGCUAAGUGUUAGGGGGUUUCCGCCCCUUAGUGCUGCAGCUAACGCAUUAAGCACUCCGCCUGGGGAGUACGGUCGCAAGACUGAAACUCAAAGGAAUUGACGGGGGCCCGCACAAGCGGUGGAGCAUGUGGUUUAAUUCGAAGCAACGCGAAGAACCUUACCAGGUCUUGACAUCCUCUGACAACCCUAGAGAUAGGGCUUUCCCUUCGGGGACAGAGUGACAGGUGGUGCAUGGUUGUCGUCAGCUCGUGUCGUGAGAUGUUGGGUUAAGUCCCGCAACGAGCGCAACCCUUGAUCUUAGUUGCCAGCAUUCAGUUGGGCACUCUAAGGUGACUGCCGGUGACAAACCGGAGGAAGGUGGGGAUGACGUCAAAUCAUCAUGCCCCUUAUGACCUGGGCUACACACGUGCUACAAUGGACAGAACAAAGGGCUGCAAGACCGCAAGGUUUAGCCAAUCCCAUAAAUCUGUUCUCAGUUCGGAUCGCAGUCUGCAACUCGACUGCGUGAAGCUGGAAUCGCUAGUAAUCGCGGAUCAGCAUGCCGCG